rnacentral:rRNA from 1 species
GCAGUAGCCGCGGGAAUACGGAGGGUGCAAGCGUUAUCCGGAUUUAUUGGGUUUAAAGGGUCCGUAGGCGGAUCUGUAAGUCAGUGGUGAAAUCUCACAGCUUAACUGUGAAACUGCCAUUGAUACUGCAGGUCUUGAGUAAAUUUGAAGUGGCUGGAAUAAGUAGUGUAGCGGUGAAAUGCAUAGAUAUUACUUAGAACACCAAUUGCGAAGGCAGGUCACUAAGAUUUAACUGACGCUGAUGGACGAAAGCGUGGGGAGCGAACAGGAUUAGAUACCCCGGUAGUCCCUGUCCUUAUACA